GGAGCCGUAGCGAAAGCGAGUUUUAACUGAGCGUUCAGUUACUUGACGUAGACCCGAAACCGGGCGACCUACCCAUGAGCAGGAUGAAGCGAAAGUAAAAUUUCGUGGAGGUCCGAACCCACGAGCGUUGAAAAGCUCGGGGAUGACUUGUGGGUAGCGGUGAAAUUCCAAUCGAGCCCGGAGAUAGCUGGUUCUCCCCGAAAUAGCUUUAGGGCUAGCCUCAAGGUGAGAGAUACGGAGGUAGAGCACUGAAUGUCCUAGGGGGUAUUGCACCUACCGAAGACUAUCAAACUCCGAAUGCCGUCAUCUUAUACUUGGGAGUCAGACUGUGGGUGAUAAGAUUCAUAGUCGAAAGGGCAACAGCCCAGAUCGUCAGCUAAGGUCCCUAAAUGUAAGUUAAGUGGUAAAGGAUGUGGGAUUGCACAGACAACCAGGAUGUUGGCUUAGAAGCAGCCACUCAUUCAAAGAGUGCGUAAUAGCUCACUGGUCGAGUGAUCCUGCGCCGAAGAUUUCCGGGGCUAAAACUUACUACCGAAGCUACGGCAUCAGUAAUGAUGGGUAGGGGAGCUUCCCAUACGGGUUGAAGCAUGACCGUAAGGACAUGUGGACAGUAUGGGAGUGAGAAUGUUGGCAUGAGUAGCGAGAUGUGGGUGAGAAUCCCACAGGCCGUAAACCCAAGGUUUCCAGGGGAAGGUUCGUCCGCCCUGGGUUAGUCGGGACCUAAGCUGAGGCCGAAAGGCGUAGGUGAUGGACAACAGGCUGAUAUUCCUGUACUACCGAUAACCGUUUGAGAGAAGGGAUGACACAGUAGGAUAAGCUAAGCACACUGUUGGUUAUGUGUGCCCAAGCAUUGAGGCAGUCAAAGUAGGUAAAUCCGCUUUGAUAAUGCUGGGAUGUGAUGGGGAGCGAAAUUUAGUAGCGAAGUAGCUGAUUUCACACUGUCAAGAAAAGUCUCUAUCGAGGUUAAAGGUACCCGUACCGCAAACCGACACAGGUGGGUGAGGAGAGUAUCCUAAGGCCAGCGAGAGAACUGUUGUUAAGGAACUCGGCAAAAUGACCCCGUAACUUAGGGAUAAGGGGUGCCACCAUCAGGUGGCCGCAGAGAAUAGGCCCAAGCGACUGUUUACCAAAAACAUAGGUUUCUGCUAAGUCGCAAGACGAUGUAUAGGAGCUGACGCCUGCCCGGUGCUGGAAGGUUAAGGGGAUCUGUUAGAGCAAUCGAAGCAGUGAACUUAAGCCCCAGUAAACGGCGGCCGUAACUAUAACGGUCCUAAGGUAGCGAAAUUCCUUGUCGGGUAAGUUCCGACCCGCACGAAAGGCGUAACGAUUUGGGCACUGUCUCAACAACAGACUCGGUGAAAUUGUAAUUCCGGUGAAGAUGCCGGAUACCUGCGACAGGACGGAAAGACCCCAUGGAGCUUUACUGUAGCUUGACAUUGGGUCUUGGUACUACAUGUACAGGAUAGGUGGGAGGCUUUGAAACCAGGACGCCAGUUUUGGCGGAGCCAUCCUUGGGAUACCACCCUUGUAGUACUGGGACUCUAACCAUAGGCCAUGAAUCUGGUCUUGGGACACUGUCAGGUGGGCAGUUUGACUGGGGCGGUCGCCUCCCAAAAGGUAACGGAGGCGCUCAAAGGUUCUCUCAGUACGGUCGGAAAUCGUACGUAGAGUGUAAAGGCAAAAGAGAGCUUGAUUGCAAGACAUACAGGUCGAGCAAGGAUGAAAAUCGGACUUAGUGAUCCGGUGGUUCUGCGUGGAAGGGCCAUCGCUCAACGGAUAAAAGCUACCCUGGGGAUAACAGGCUUAUCUCCCCCAAGAGUCCACAUCGACGGGGAGGUUUGGCACCUCGAUGUCGGCUCAUCACAUCCUGGGGCUGUAGUAGGUCCCAAGGGUUGGGCUGUUCGCCCAUUAAAGUGGUACGCGAGCUGGGUUCAGAACGUCGUGAGACAGUUCGGUCCCUAUCCGUCGCAGGCGUAGGAAAUUUGAGAAGACCUGUCCUUAGUACGAGAGGACCGGGAUGGACGUACCUCUGGUGUACCAGUUGUCCUGCCAAGGGCAUGGCUGGGUAGCUAUGUACGGAAUGGAUAAGCGCUGAAAGCAUCUAAGCGCGAAGCCAACUUCAAGAUAAGAUUUCCCACCGCAAGGGUAAGACCCCAGAAAGACUAUCUGGUUGAUAGGUCGAAGGUGUAAGUGCAGCAAUGUAUUUAGCUUAUCGAUACUAAUAGGUCGAGGACUUGACCAA
rnacentral:rRNA from 1 species